AAACCAACAGGGAUUGCCUCAGUAACGGCGAGUGAAGCGGCAAAAGCUCAAAUUUGAAAUCUGGUAGUUUCACUAUCCGAGUUGUAAUUUGAAGAGAUAACUUUGGAAUUGGCUCUUGUCUAUGUUCCUUGGAACAGGACGUCACAGAGGGUGAGAAUCCCGUGCGAUGAGAUGCCCAAUUCUAUGUAAAGUAUUCUCGACGAGUCGAGUUGUUUGGGAAUGCAGCUCUAAGUGGGUGGUAAAUUCCAUCUAAAGCUAAAUAUUGGCGAGAGACCGAUAGCGAACAAGUACAGUGAUGGAAAGAUGAAAAGAACUUUGAAAAGAGAGUGAAAAAGUACGUGAAAUUGUUGAAAGGGAAGGGCUUGAGAUCAGACUUGGUUUUAAUUUAUUAUUACUGGGCCAGCAUCGGUUUGUGCGGUAAGAUAAGACUAGUGGAAAGUAGCUCAUUGAGUGUUAUAGCCAUUAGUGAUGUUACCAGCGUAGACCGAGGACUGCGAUUUUAUCAAGGAUGUUGGCAUAAUGAUCUUAAGCCGC
rnacentral:rRNA from 1 species